rnacentral:rRNA from 1 species
CCUACGGGAGGCAGCAGUGAGGAAUAUUGGUCAAUGGCCGGAAGGCUGAACCAGCCAAGUCGCGUGAGUGACGACUGCCCUAUGGGUUGUAAACCUCUUUUAUAAGGGAAGAAUAAAUGCUACGUGUAGCAUGAUGCCUAUACCUUAUGGAUGAGCAUCGGCUAACUCCGUGCCCGCAGCCGCGGUAAUACGGAGGAUGCGCGCGUUCUCCGGAUUUAUUGGGUUUAAAGGGUGCGUAGGCGGGUUUUUAAGUUGGUGGGUAAACGGCGGGGCUUCACCUUGAUUUGCCAUUAAUACUGUAAGACUCGAGUUCAGACGAGGUAGGCGGAAUAAGUUAAGUAGCGGUGAAAUGCUUAGAUAUAACUUAGAACGCCGAUAGCGAAGGCAGCUUACCAGACUGCGACUGACGCUGAAGCACGAGAGCGUGGGUAGCGAACAGGAUUAGAUACCCCAGUAGUC